rfam:Trichomalopsis sarcophagae strain Alberta scaffold3422, whole genome shotgun sequence.
UCUGCGAUGGCUCACUCGGUAGAGCGAUAGGCUCGUAACUCGGUGUCCCGGGUUCGAUUCCCGGUCUCUGCC